UCCAGACUCCUACGGGAGGCAGCAGUGGGGGAUAUUGCACAAUGGGGGGAACCCUGAUGCAGCGACGCCGCGUGGGUGAAGGAGCGUUUCGGCGCGUAAAGCCCUAUCGGCAGGGAAGAAGGAGGACGGUACCUGACUAAGAAGCCCCGGCUAACUACGUGCCAGCAGCCGCGGUAAUACGUAGGGGGCAAGCGUUAUCCGGAUUUACUGGGUGUAAAGGGGGCGCAGACGGCAGCGCAAGCCAGGAGUGAAAGCCCGGGGCCCAACCCCGGGACUGCUCUUGGAACUGCGCGGCUGGAGUGCAGGAGGGGCAGGCGGAAUUCCUGGUGUAGCGGCGAAAUGCGUAGAUAUCAGGAGGAACACCGGUGGCGAAGGCGGCCUGCUGGACUGCAACUGACGUUGAGGCCCGAAAGCGUGGGGAGCAAACAGGAUUAGAUACCCGAGUAA
rnacentral:rRNA from 1 species